rnacentral:rRNA from 1 species
AUUGAACGCUAGCGGGAUGCUUUACACAUGCAAGUCGAACGAGGGGGGGAAGGGUGAGUAAUAUAUUGGAACGGGCCCAGUAGAGGGGGAUAACUACUUGGAAGAGUGGGUUAUACCCCCUUCUAUUGGGGCGGCCGAUAGCGGAUUAGCUAGUUGGUGGGGUAAAGGCGCUACAAGGCCACGAUCCGUAGCGGGUUUGAGAGGACGACCCGCCACACUGGGACUGAGACACGGCCCAGACUCCUACGGGAGGCAGCAGUGGGGAAUUUUGGACAAUGGGGGAAACCCUGAUCCAGCCAUGCCGCGUGUAUGAGAAGGCCUUCGGGUUGUAAAGUACUUUUAGCGGGGAGGCGGUAUCUGCAGAAUAAGCACCGGCUAACUCCGUGCCAGCCGCCGCGGUAAUAC